rnacentral:rRNA from 1 species
GUGGAUCACUCNGCUCGUGUGUCGAUGAAGAGCGCANCUAGCUGCGAGAAGUAAUGUGAAUUGCAUAACCACAUUGAAACAUCACAUCUUGAACCGCACAUGGCGGGCUCCGGGUUACUUCGGAGGCCACGUCUGUCUGAGGGCCGCUUUGUAGUG